GUGGUGAAGUAUGAUGAUAUCGUAGUUCAUAUGAUUACAAUAUGAAAAUACAAGCUAUAGUCUUUCGCUCCUAUCUGAUUCACCUU